rnacentral:misc_RNA from 1 species
UCCGGUUUGUCACCGGCAGUCUCCCUAGAGUGCCCUUGCGUAGCAACUAGGGACAAGGGUUGCGCUCGUUGCGGGACUUAACCCAACAUCUCACGACACGAGCUGACGACAGCCAUGCAGCACCUGUGUUCCGAUUCCCUUUCAGGCACCCCCACCUCUCAGCAGGGUUCCGGACAUGUCAGGGGUAGGUAAGGUGGGGAUGACGUAGAACGGUU